CCACCAACAGUAAGGAGUGGGCACUCACUCCUAUAGUGCCCUGUCUGCCCGCAAUGAUAACAUGACACUCCACUCCUCCGGCUAGGGCCACUGGUCUGCCCACGUUGUGGGCAGUCCCUCCUGAGAUGUCCUGUCUGCCCACAACCGUGACAGGUUGCAUUAUACUGUUGCGAAAAAUCCUUGGCUGUACUGGUCACCGACUGCUGUCCCGACUGCUGGCUCCAAGCUGGUCGUGAGCCAGACCUCCCACCGCCUGAACUGGAACCACGUCCUCCCGACCAUUCACUACCAGCAGAAUUAGAGCUGGAUCCACCCCUCUUUGAUGGACCCUGACUUGGCUCACCAAAACCUGAGGAGUCCCUGCGGCGCCUACCAAUGCCCGCUCCCAA
rnacentral:lncRNA from 1 species